UCCAGCUGUUUACACACACACUAGUAGCUCCCGUAGGUGUUGUGGGAAGUGCCACCAUUUUGGCAGGAGUUGGGGAUAGGGACUGGGUUAGGGUUAGAAAAGGUUAGGGUUAGGGAUCCCGGUCCAAUGCACAGGCCAUCACAGCCCUCCACCAGGGUUAGGGUCUACCUCUCAUUGAGGCCUUGGGGGUGAAGCGUGCCGAGUCUGGCGAUCCAAAUACGCUCAGCUCGCCGUCUCUGAGCCCCACUCCAUUUUGGGUUCGCCUCCAGGACCGAGGCCCGGACAGCGUCCCAUCCGUGGAGGAGGAAGUGUACCACCACUAAGGUCUGGUGCUUGAAAAAUUGCCCGUGACCCCUGGGUGCAGAGGUCAACAAAGGCGAGAGUUUUGCUUUAACAAGGUAGGAUUGCAGAUUUCUGUUCCUCCUAUAGGCUGCAAUGAUCCUCCUGUUCUGCAUCAGGUUUGUCCCUCCAAGGAUUGAAUUAAAAUUGCUCCUGAUUGCUCUCACUAGUUUCACAGUGGAUGGUGAGUAUGUAGUGACAAAGGGGAGGAUUGGAAAGGUCUGUUUGGGCCUAGUCUCCAGAAAUGUUGUAAAACAUUUUCUCAGGAAAGAGCGAGGGUACCCUCUGGUGGCCAAAACUGAGAACAGCGUCUUAGUGGCCUGUUUUAAAUCCCCUUUGUCACUACAGAUCCUGUGAAAUCUAAGCAGCUGGGACUUCACCAGCCCAGCAAAGGUAUGUUUGGGGUGGUGGCUCGUCUUAAAGAGCAGAGCGUGGGUGUCUCUUUAAAGAACACCCUGAUAUCCAGUCUGUUUUUCUCCUGGAAUCCCACACCUUUGUAGGUGGUGGUAACCAGGAAGUCAACAGAUGUGAAGCUGGUGGUGGAUUUCAAGGUAAUGGAUCUGUUAUGGUGGUUGAGAGUGUGCAGAAACAGUUUGAAAUCCUCCUCUGAGUGGGGCCAGACCCCCCAGAUAUCACCUAGAUAUCUGAAAUAAUGGAGAGGUUUGUAGAACAGUCUCGCCCUGGGUUCAGAGGUGCCGAGAAGGUAAGUUUUCUGUUUGAAGUUGAUGAAUUUUUUGGUUAGGAGGUUUACAAUUAUUUUUUCUACUAAUUUUACAGUUUCUGGGUAGAUGGGUUUCUCUAAUUUGGAAUAAUAUUUUGUGUCCUGUAACUGCCUGUAUCCCUCCCACAGAUACUGCUCCCAAUCCAUGACGACCACUACACUGCCCUUAUCAGCUGGUUUAAUAACGAUGUUCUUAUUGUUUUUCAGCUCCUCCAGAGCCACAGCCUCCUCAGGGCUGAGGUUCAGCCUGUUGUGGCUGAUCUGAAAGUGCCGAUCAAAGUGAUCAAAAUCAGCUGUGGUGAGGGCAGCGAGCUCGGGUGGCAGCGUGCCCUCAGGCUUCUGGGGAUUUCUAGUUUAAGUGCUGCAGCAUGAGACCAGCAGUCUCCCGGGUCCAGUGGAUCUUGUCCUCCACAGUCGCAAAGGAGACCGAAGGACAGGACCACCUUCUCCACUGUGGUGGAGACGACGGCCCUGGAGAGGAUGGCCUCUGCGUGCCUGAAUGUGGCUCCUGGGUAGCUGUCAAUCUGUCACUCCUCUAUGUUACAUGGAGGGAUUCUGGCCACGUUUGAAUCCCCCAUGACGAGCCAUUUCUUUGUCACAUAGAGGUGGAUUCAAAAAUUGAGGCUUGUAGCCCUGUUCGUAAGGACGGCGGCGGGAUCCAUCAUCCCUGUCGUCCCCACGUCUGACCCGGGUGACAGAGGCGUAGGUACGUCUCUGUCCAGGGCCAGAGCGUGAGCGCCCAUACGGAGGAGAGUGACGCCUGCGGCGGCUGAAGUCCCAGGGUCGCCCCUCGCCACGGCGGUCCAUACGACCGUGGCAGUAGCGGACCUCGGUCCAGCCAGCGUCAUCAUUGUAUCCUCUCAUGUUCGUGUGAACAGUUGAGGAGGUUGGGAUGGCUAUAAAUUGAUUAAAGGAGAGGUCUGCUCUGCAUGCAGGAUGAGAGAGGUGUGGGGAGACGUGAGGCUGCUUCCUUUAUAGACUCUGCAGCCAGCCAGCCACACCCCCUACCAGGGUGUGGUAAGUAUUGGGUGUGUUUGUGAAU